rnacentral:rRNA from 1 species
UAACGCAUCGAAAGGUGUGCUAAUACCGCAUAUGGUCUUCGGAUUAAAGCCUUCGGGCGCUUUGGGAACGGCCUGCGUAAGAUUAGAUAGUUGGUGGGGUAAUGGCCUACCAAGUCAACGAUCUUUAACUGGUUUGAGAGGAUGAUCAGUCAGACUGGAACUGAGACACGGUCCAGACUCCUACGGGAGGCAGCAGUGAGGAAUCUUCCACAAUGGGCGAAAGCCUGAUGGAGCAACGCCGCGUGCAGGAUGAAGGCCUUCGGGUUGUAAACUGCUUUUAUAAGUGAGGAAUAUGACAGUAACUUAUGAAUAAGGAUCGGCUAACUACGUGCCAGCAGCCGCGGUCAUACGUAGGAUCCGAGCGUUAUCCGGAGUGACUGGGCGUAAAGAGUUGCGUAGGUGGUUUAAUAAGCGAAUAGUGAAAUCUGGUGGCUCAACCAUUCAGACUAUUAUUCGAACUGUUAAACUCGAGAGCAGAAGAGGUAGCUGGAAUUUCUAGUGUAGGAGUGAAUCCGUAGAUAUUAGAAGGAACACCGAUGGCGUAGGCAGGCUACUGGGCUGUUUCUGACA